UCAACAAGAUAUAUCUUUCUAGUAGAAGAAACCGAGGACCUUCCCACCAACGUUCUUUCUGCGAGCCUCCUCAUGGUCCAUAAUGCCAGCUGAAGUAGUAAGGACAAUGUACCCAAACUGGAGAGCAACAAACAAUAAACAUUAUCCAUGAUUCGAUUUCCUUGACACCAACAUCGAAGCGAGGGCUGAUGACACCACACUUGUUGAGGCGUCCGUUCAGCUCAACAACAAUUUUGCCAGAGCGGUGGUCAUCAACAAACUCAAAUUCACCAAUGUAGCCUACAUUGAGGAUAUACAAAACUUGAUGAUAACCUUUGAUGAGGGUCGGAUCAUCACUUGCCGCUUCCCACGCUUCUCAGCAUUGUACAUUGUUUUCAGAGCAUCGUUGAGGACACUGACUCUCACCAUUUUGUC
rnacentral:sRNA from 1 species